GUGCCAGCAGCCGCGGUAAUACGUAGGUGGCAAGCGUUGUCCGGAUUUAUUGGGCGUAAAGCGAGCGCAGGCGGUUUCUUAAGUCUGAUGUGAAAGCCCCCGGCUCAACCGGGGAGGGUCAUUGGAAACUGGGAAACUUGAGUGCAGAAGAGGAGAGUGGAAUUCCACGUGUAGCGGUGAAAUGCGUAGAGAUGUGGAGGAACACCAGUGGCGAAGGCGACUCUCUGGUCUGUAACUGACGCUGAGGAGCGAAAGCGUGGGGAGCGAACAGGAUUAGAAACCCGAGUAGUCC
rnacentral:rRNA from 1 species